rnacentral:rRNA from 1 species
UCAUCGUAGGGUUAGUCGGGACCUAAGCCGAGUCCGAGAGGGGUAGGCGAUGGAAAAUCGGUUAAUAUUCCGAUACCAACUAUAGAGCGUGAUGGGAGGACGCAUAGGGCUAUGUGAGGUCACUGAUGGAAUAGUGGCUCGAAGGGUGUAGGCUGGGAGAGAAAGGAAAAUCCACUUUCCUAUAGCUGAGACCUGACAGGCUGUGGAGGCUCUUAGGAGCCAAAACAGAAUCACAGAUGCCGAAGUGCCAAGAAAAGUCUCUAAGCAUAUCUAUAGUUGCCCGUACCGUAAACCGACACAGGUGGGUGAGAUGAGAAUUCUAAGGCGCGUGGAAGAACCAUUGUUAAGGAACUCUGCAAACUAGCACCGUAUCUUCGGUAGAAGGUGUGCCUACUUGGGUGAAGCCCUUAGCGGGUGGAGCCUGAGAGGUUGCAACAAAGAGUCCCUCCCGACUGUUUAC